rnacentral:rRNA from 1 species
GCAUAUCAAUAAGCGGAGGAAAAGAAACCAACAGGGAUUGCCCUAGUAACGGCGAGUGAAGCGGCAACAGCUCAAAUUUGAAAUCUGGCCUCUUUGGGGUCCGAGUUGUAAUUUGCAGAGGGCGCUUUGGAGUCGGCAGCGGUCCAAGUUCCUUGGAACAGGACGUCACAGAGGGUGAGAAUCCCGUACGUGGUCGCUAGCCUUCGCCGUGUAAAGCCCCUUCGACGAGUCGAGUUGUUUGGGAAUGCAGCUCUAAAUGGGAGGUAAAUUUCUUCUAAAGCUAAAUACUGGCCAGAGACCGAUAGCGCACAAGUAGAGUGAUCGAAAGAUGAAAAGCACUUUGGAAAGAGAGUCAAACAGCACGUGAAAUUGUUGAAAGGGAAGCGCUUGCAGCCAGACUUGCCUGUAGUUGCUCAUCCGGGCUUUUGCCCGGUGCACUCUUCUAUAGGCAGGCCAGCAUCAGUUUGGGCGGUUGGAUAAAGGUCUCUGUCAUGUACCUCUCUUCGGGGAGAACUUAUAGGGGAGACGACAUGCAACCAGCUCAGACUGAGGUCCGCGCAUUUGCUAGGAUGCUGGCGUAAUGGCUGUAAGCGGCCCGUCUUGAAACACGGACCAAGGAGUCUAACAUCUAUGCGAGUGUUUGGGUGUCAAGCCCGAGCGCGCAAUGAAAGUGAACGGAGGUGGGAACCCCUCGGGGCGCACCAUCGACCGAUCCUGAUGUCUUCGGAUGGAUUUGAGUAAGAGCAUAGCUGUUGGGACCCGAAAGAUGGUGAACUAUGCUUGAAUAGGGUGAAGCCAGAGGAAACUCUGGUGGAGGCUCGCAGCGGUUCUGACGUGCAAAUCGAUCGUCAAAUUUGGGCAUAGGGGCGAAAGACUAAUCGA